rnacentral:rRNA from 1 species
GCUAAACCAUGCACCGAAGCUGCGGCAGCGACGCUUAUGCGUUGUUGGGUAGGGGAGCGUUCUGUAAGCCUGUGAAGGUGUACUGUGAGGUAUGCUGGAGGUAUCAGAAGUGCGAAUGCUGACAUAAGUAACGAUAAAGCGGGUGAAAAGCCCGCUCGCCGGAAGACCAAGGGUUCCUGUCCAACGUUAAUCGGGGCAGGGUGAGUCGACCCCUAAGGCGAGGCCGAAAGGCGUAGUCGAUGGGAAACAGGUUAAUAUUCCUGUACUUGGUGUUACUGCGAAGGGGGGACGGAGAAGGCUAUGUUGGCCGGGCGACGGUUGUCCCGGUUUAAGCGUGUAGGCUGGUUUUCCAGGCAAAUCCGGAAAAUCAAGGCUGAGGCGUGAUGACGAGGCACUACGGUGCUGAAGCAACAAAUGCCCUGCUUCCAGGAAAAGCCUCUAAGCAUCAGGUAACAUCAAAUCGUACCCCAAACCGACACAGGUGGUCAGGUAGAGAAUACCAAGGCGCUUGAGAGAACUCGGGUGAAGGAACUAGGCAAAAUGGUGCCGUAACUUCGGGAGAAGGCACGCUGAUAUGUAGGUGAAGUCCCUCGCGGAUGGAGCUGAAAUCAGUCGAAGAUACCAGCUGGCUGCAACUGUUUAUUAAAAACACAGCACUGUGCAAACACGAAAGUGGACGUAUACGGUGUGACGCCUGCCCGGUGCCGGAAGGUUAAUUG